GCCUACGGGGGGCUGCAGUGGGGAAUUUUGGACAAUGGGCGAAAGCCUGAUCCAGCAAUGCCGCGUGUGUGAAGAAGGCCUUCGGGUUGUAAAGCACUUUUGUCCGGAAAGAAAUCCUUGGCUCUAAUACAGUCGGGGGAUGACGGUACCGGAAGAAUAAGCACCGGCUAACUACGUGCCAGCAGCCGCGGUAAUACGUCGGGUGCAAGCGUUAAUCGGAAUUACUGGGCGUAAAGCGUGCGCAGGCGGUUUGCUAAGACCGAGGUGAAAUCCCCGGGCUCAACCUGGGAACUGCAUUGGUGACUGGCAGGCUAGAGUGUGGCAGAGGGGGGUAGAAUUCCACGUGUAGCAGUGAAAUGCGUAGAGAUGUGGAGGAAUACCGAUGGCGAAGGCAGCCCCCUGGGCCAAUACUGACGCUCAUGCACGAAAGCGUGGGGAGCAAACAGGAUUAGAUACCCCUGUAGUCG
rnacentral:rRNA from 1 species